GCUGGGUGUGGUGGCGUGCACCUGUAGUCCCAGCUACUCAGGAGGCUAAGGCAGGAGAAUCGCUUGAACCUGGGAGGUUGAGGUUGCAGUGAGCCGAGAUGGCGCCACUGCACUCCAGCCUGGGCAAAAGAGCGAGACUCUGUCUCAA
rnacentral:SRP_RNA from 1 species